GCUGACGGAGCCGGAUGUCCUUCUGUGCCAACUCCUCCUUCAGCCUCCGAAUCUCAUCCUGCUGCCUGAAGAACAUCCUGAGGAGCUGGGGGUACAGCAAGGUGCAGGGAGAGAACAGGUGAGGAGGACUUUGGAGGACCAGUGUUCUCAGACACCCACCCUACCCAGACCCACCGUGCCUGCUCACCUUCCUCAGUCUCCUGCCACCCUGGGACAGUCAGGCGGGUGUUCCCCGAAGUUAUUUCCAGGGUUCCUACUUACCCCUGAUGGGAGAAUGGUAAAGCGCAGCGGCCACGCAGGCCUGUCCGAGGGAAGCCAGUUUUCAGGAUCUCAAGUUGGCCUCUUUAUGGGUCUGAACUAAAGCC
rnacentral:lncRNA from 1 species